rnacentral:rRNA from 1 species
UACGAAGGGGGCUAGCGUUGCUCGGAUUGACUGGGCGUAAAGCGCGCGCAGGCGGCCCGGUAAGUCGGAUGUGAAAUCCCACGGCUCAACCGUGGAACUGCACUCGAUACUGUCGGGCUAGAGGCAGGUAGGGGAGAUCGGAAUUCCUGGUGUAGCGGUGAAAUGCGCAGAUAUCAGGAGGAACACCGGUGGCGAAGGCGGAUCUCUGGGCCUGUCCUGACGCUCGAGGCGCGAAAGCUAGGGGAGCGAACAGG